GUAUUAGGUUGGUGCAAAGGUAAUUGCACUUUUUGCCAUUGAAAGUAAUGGCAAAUACUGCAAUUACCUUUGCACCAACCUAUAA
ensembl:miRNA